GAUGAACGCUGGCGGCGUGCCUAAUACAUGCAAGUAGAACGCUGAAGGAAGGAGCUUGCUCUUUCCGGAUGAGUUGCGAACGGGUGAGUAACGCGUGGGUAACCUGCCUGUUAGCGGGGGAUAACUAUUGGAAACGAUAGCUAAUACCGCAUAACAGUAGAUGUUGCAUGAUAUCUGCUUAAAAGGUGCAAUUGCACCACUACCAGAUGGACCUGCGUUGUAUUAGCUAGUUGGUGAGGUAACGGCUCACCAAGGCGACGAUACAUAGCCGACCUGAGAGGGUGAUCGGCCACACUGGGACUGAGACACGGCCCAGACUCCUACGGGAGGCAGCAGUAGGGAAUCUUCGGCAAUGGACGGAAGUCUGACCGAGCAACGCCGCGUGAGUGAAGAAGGUUUUCGGAUCGUAAAGCUCUGUUGUAAGAGAAGAACGAGUGUGAGAGUGGAAAGUUCACACUGUGACGGUAUCUUACCAGAAAGGGACGGCUAACUACGUG
rnacentral:rRNA from 1 species